CCCUUAGACGUUCUGGGCCGCACGCGCGCUACACUGACGAAGGCAACGAGCUUUCCUUUACCGAAAGGUACGGGUAAUCUUUUGAAACUUCGUCGUGCUGGGGAUAGAUCCUUGCAAUUAUUGAUCUUAAACGAGGAAUUCCUAGUAAGCGCAAGUCAUCAACUUGCGUUGAUUACGUCCCUGCCCUUUGUACACACCGCCCGUCGCUCCUACCGAUUGAAUGAUCCGGUGAGCUUUUUGGACUGUGGUCACGGCUUUGGUUCGCCAAACUGAGGCCGCGGGAAGAUGCGCAAACCUUAUCAUUUAGAGGAAGGAGAAGUCGUAACA
rnacentral:rRNA from 1 species